UGGUGGUGAUACAAGAAUGGAUACACCUGUUCCCAUCCCGAACACAGAAGUUAAGCAUUCUAUGGCCGACAAUAGUAUAGCAAUAUGCGAAGAUAGGAUAUUGCCAAGC
rnacentral:rRNA from 1 species